CGGCCGCGGCGCGGGGACCAUGCUCCCUUCUGGCUCGCUCCUCUCCGGACCCACAGACCCCCUCACCUGUUCUGUCGUUCAGAGGAAAAGCCUGUGGUUCAGUUCCCCUCCAUCUUUCAGGCUUUGGAAACACGGAACAGGAGAGAUGGGCCAGGCCUCCCGGAGCCAGAAAUCAGGAGAGGAACACGGAUGGCCACAUCACAGCAGUCAGAAGAGAAGACUGAACAAUUUGAGGAAAGUUCAAGAACACAAAGAACACUGACAUAUUUCUGGGAGCUCAGACGGAUGGUUAAUGGACUGGAGAAGCUUUCGACUCAACUGGAGCGAUACGAUAAACAUGGAGUAAGGCACGGGGAAACUGGGAAAACCGCAUCUCCAUGUUGGUCGCCGUGUCUUCUGAUGGUGAGAAUGCCCCUCUGUUCAAACAUCCUUGAGGCUGAAGUUCGGCUGCUUUUACUCUACUGGAGUUGAAGGCUGUGUGCCUCUCAACUAAAUUCUUUCCCUUGAGAAGAAAGGAACUGAAAGAACCCAUGACCUACCCCAGACCCUCAGACAAUCCAUGACCAUCCAAUGUCUCCUCUGAUCCUGCCAUGGUCACCAUUAGACACGCCCAUUCCUCUGUGACGGUGAAGAAGAUCACACACGGAAGAACUCGGGCAAGUCCUUCAUCAGUUCUUUAGUAGUCAAGAUUGAAUUCAACAUUGAAUCUCUACAUCUGAUUGCCCUUGAAGGUCU
rnacentral:lncRNA from 1 species